AAUCAACGCUGGCGGCGUGCCUAACACAUGCAAGUCGCACGAGAAAGGGUCUUCGGAUCUGAGUAAAGUGGCGCACGGGUGAGUAACACGUGACUAAUCUACCCUCGAGUGGGGAAGUAACCUAGGGAAACCGUGGGCUAAUACCGCAUAACACUUACGAGUCAAAGCAGCAAUGCGCUUGGGGAGGAGGUCGCGGCAGAUUAGCUAGUUGGUGGGGUAAGUGGCCCACCAAGGCGAUGAUCUGUAUCCGGCCUGAGAGGGCGCACGGACACACUGGAACUGAAACAC
rnacentral:rRNA from 1 species